UUGACGGGGCCCGCACAAGCGGUGGAGUAUGUGGUUUAAUUCGAUGCAACGCGAAGAACCUUACCUGGUCUUGACAUCCCGGAGACCCUUAGGAAACUAGGGGGUGCUUCCAUCUGGAAGAAUCUGGAGACAGGUGCUGCAUGGCUGUCGUCAGCUCGUGUCGUGAGAUGUUGGGUUAAGUCCCGCAACGAGCGCAACCCUUGCCUUUAGUUGCCAGCAGUUCGGCUGGGCACUCUAAAGGGACUGCCGGUGUUAAACCGGAGGAAGGUGGGGAUGACGUCAAGUCCUCAUGGCCUUUAUGCCCAGGGCUACACACGUGCUACAAUGGCCGGCACAGACGGCAGCUUAGUGGCGACACUUGGCAAAUCCUCUAAAGCCGGUCCCAGUUCGGAUUGCAGUCUGCAACUCGACUGCAUGAAGUCGGAAUCGCUAGUAAUCGUGAAUCAGAAUGUCACGGUGAAUACGUUCCCGGGCCUU
rnacentral:rRNA from 1 species